GACGAACGCUGGCGGCGUGCUUAACACAUGCAAGUCGAACGGAAAGGCCCUGCUUUUGUGGGGUGCUCGAGUGGCGAACGGGUGAGUAACACGUGAGUAACCUGCCCUUGACUUUGGGAUAACUUCAGGAAACUGGGGCUAAUACCGGAUAGGAGCUCCUGCUGCAUGGUGGGGGUUGGAAAGUUUCGGCGGUUGGGGAUGGACUCGCGGCUUAUCAGCUUGUUGGUGGGGUAGUGGCUUACCAAGGCUUUGACGGGUAGCCGGCCUGAGAGGGUGACCGGCAACAUUGGGACUGGGAUACGGCCCAGACUCCUACGGGAGGCAGCAGUGGGGAAUAUUGCACAAUGGGCGGAAGCCUGAUGCAGCAACGCCGCGUGCGGGAUGACGGCCUUCGGGUUGUAAACCGCUUUCGCCUGUGACGAAGCGUGAGUGACGGUAAUGGGUAAAGAAGCACCGGCUAACUACGUG
rnacentral:rRNA from 1 species